rnacentral:rRNA from 1 species
GUGGGGAAUCUUGCGCAAUGGGCGAAAGCCUGACGCAGCCAUGCCGCGUGGAUGAUGAAGGUCUUAGGAUUGUAAAAUCCUUUCACCGGUGAAGAUAAUGACUGUAGCCGGAGAAGAAGCCCCGGCUAACUUCGUGCCAGCAGCCGCGGUAAUACGAAGGGGGCUAGCGUUGCUCGGAUUUACUGGGCGUAAAGGGCGCGUAGGCGGACAUUUAAGUCAGGGGUGAAAUCCCGGGGAUCAACCUCGGAACUGCCUUUGAUACUGGGUGUCUUGAGUAUGAGAGAGGUGUGUGGAACUCCGAGUGUAGAGGUGAAAUUCGUAGAUAUUCGGAAGAACACCAGUGGCGAAGGCGACACACUGGCUCAUUACUGACGCUGAGGCGCGAAAGCGUGGGGAUCAAACAGGAUUAGAUACCCUGGUAGUCC